rnacentral:lncRNA from 1 species
AGCGCCCGUUUGUCUACCUCUUUUGCGGUGCCCAUUGGCUUGGCUGCGGUACCUCCUGCCGCGUCUCUUUUUGGAGAAGCGCAGUCAUUGGCGCCGGGGCUUGGUGGUCGCCGGUGAGCGGGCAGGGUGGGCCGGGGCUGCUGUGUGGUUGGGAGGCCGCGGUCUCUGCUCAGUGGAGCGGCGUUGAGCACCCGGCCAGCGGCGCGGUUCUCCUGCCCUCGGCUCCGGGCGGCCCGCCUGCCCCACGUUGAGGAUCUCGAGCCUGGGACAAUGGUGUGCAUUCCCUGCAUUGUCAUUCCAGUUCUGCUCUGGGUCUACAAAAAAUUCCUGGAACCAUAUAUAUACCCUCUCAUCUCCCCCUUUGUUAGCCGUAUGUGGCCUAAGAAAGCUGUACGAGACUGCAAUGAUAAAAACAAAGGCAAAGUGGACUAUAAGGGUGCAGACAUAAAUGGAUUACCAACAAGAGGACCAACAGAAAUCUGUGAUAAAAAGAAAGACUAAAGUGGUUGUCCCAAAGGAUCUCAUUGUUUUAAAAAUGGACCUGAUAAUAUGAAGCAUCUUGUUUAUAAUUGUCACUGAUCUUUUUCCCUAAGACCAGAAUCGGGAUAGAUAGUUUAGAUAUUUACCUGACACUAAUCAGAAAUCCCUGGUAUUUGUAUUUAAAAUGUAGUUAGUUAUAUUUAAUGAUCUCAUUCCUGAGUUCUUUUUCAUUAAUGUAGAUAGAUUUCUUUUCUUGCAGUUUUUAAAAUCUGAAUAAAUAGAAGGUUUGUGCAAGUAGACACUGUUACUAAAUCGGUACCUAAAAAUCCUUGGGCCUCUAGCUUUUAUUCAGGCUCUUCAAAUUUGAGGAGUAUAAUUUUACUGUGAAACAAUGCAAUGAGACUGCAGUGAAAUGAAAGGUAGUUUUUGGAGAUGAUAAGACUUGAAACAAAGAUGUAAUUACUGUCCAACUCAGUGGAGCAGCUUAUCUGUAAGAGUAGUAAUUACUGUUUAUUGCUCUAAGGAAGAGAGAGAAAAAAGUUAGUAGGAGAAACUUCUUUGAAAAAUGGAACAUCUUUCACAUAAAUGUCUAAUAUAUAUUAUGAAAUUAUAAUUAUUGUUGCAUUCCUUCUACUCUAAGAAUGUAUUAAAUACUCAGUUUAGCUUGUGGUUCUUUUUUUCUUUUAAAAUUUAAAUAUUUAGAAGGAAGUUUUUUAACCACAUCGGAAAACAGGAUUGUAAUACUGCAAUAGUACCUUGAUGGUUACACAACGUUUUUUUCUUUUUUCUUUUUUUUUUUAAAUCAGUUUUAGUUACUUUUCCAUAGGAAGACACUCUAAAAUGAUUGUGUCAGUUAUUUUGUUAUGGAACAAGACACUCUAAAAAGAUUGGUUUUCGACAGCAGUAACAUGACUGGGCAGUUUUGCCUGUCUGGGCCUCCCUACAUGGUCUUUCAUCCCUGGGCUUCACUUUCAUGUAGGGAUCUAUAAAUUUUCAAAGAUGAUGAGACGUAUCCUUACAUGAUACUAAUUCUUUCUGAAGCAAGAAAGUUAGAAGGGACUCCUCACCUUGGGUCCCCAGUGAAGUCCUGGGUCUUAGCAAGGUUCUGUUAAGCUGUGUCUGGUCAAGUCAUUUGUCCACCUUGGACUUCAUUUGAUAUUAAUGAGUGUGUUUCAGGUUUUCUGCCCCAACCCACCUGAGGGUUAAGAUAAAUUCCCUUUAGCAGUUACAUCCAGUUGAUUGGUUUCUUCUUAAGGUAUUAAAAGCUAUAUUGGAGUUCCUGUCAUGGCUCAGAGGAAACGAAUCUGAGGAGCAUCCAUGAGGUCCCAGGUUCAAUCCCUGGCCUUGCUCAGCGGGUUAAGGAUCUGGCAUUGCGGGUUGCGGACAUGGCUCAGGUCUGGUGUGGUUUUGGCUGUGGCUUAGGCAGGCAGCUAUAGCUCCGAUUUGACCCCUAGCCUGGGAACUUUUGUGUGCCACGGGCGCAGCCCUAAAAAGCAAGAAAUAAAAGCUAUGUUAUGAAAAUGGUCAAUGUUUAUAGCAGAACAAUGCAAGAGCAAGUUAAAUGAAACGUUAAUAUUCUUUCUUUACUCUCAUUCCUUUAUUCUAGCUCCAAAGAUAUAACUGCUAUGCUGCUUGUGUAGCCUUCUAGCAACUUUCGUUAGAAUUAGUUUUUAUUAAAUGCAUCAUUUUAAAAAAUCAAAUAAUAUUACAAGGCUUAUAAUGUUCCUUAGUCCCCAAAGUCUUUACUCAUUUAACUAUUGCUUUUGUCUUAUGAUUUAUCUCCAUAUUUCUAAACCAUGCAUGUAUACUACAGUUUUUGUAGCUAUCAACUUUGAGCAUUUUUUACAUCCUGUCAUGGUUGAGAUGUCACUGUCUUCUUUCUGCUUCUCCUACAUAUCCUCCAAAUAUGUUUUUGUAAAUUUUGGUUAAAUCAUUAAUCAGUGUAU